GACGAACGCUGGCGGCGUGCUUGACACAUGCAAGUCGAACGGAAAGGCCUGCUUUCCCUUGUGGAUUGCGGGUACUCGAGUGGCGAACGGGUGAGUAACACGUGAGUGAUCUGCCCCCAACUUGGGUAUAAGCCUGGGAAACUGGGUCUAAUUCCCGAUAGGACUGCAGGGUGGUGCCCGUGGUGGAAAACGAUUUUCUAGUGGUUGGGGAUGAGCUCGCGGCCUAUCAGCUUGUUGGUGGGGUAAUGGCCUACCAAGGCGGCGACGGGUAGCCGGCCUGGGAGGGUGGACGGCGACAUUGGGACUGGGAUACGGCCCAGACUCCUACGGGCGGCAGCAGUGGGGAAUAUUGCGCAAUGGGCGGAAGCCUGAUGCAGCGACGCCGCGUGGGGGAUGACGGCCUUCGGGUUGUAAACUCCUUUCGACCGCGAGGAAGCCACCUGGUUGGAAGGGUGGUGACGGUAGUGGUAGAAGAAGCACCGGCUAACUACGUG
rnacentral:rRNA from 1 species